CUUGUUAUGUUACACAUAACAUAUUGCUGCUCUGGAUGUCCAGAAAAGUCUUGAACAGUGAAGACUGCAAGGAAAGUGAUUCCAAUAUUCCCAAUCUUCAUUGUGAAUUGAUGAAGUCAACCCACCGGACGUCCUCAGAAUCAGGUUCAAAACAUGAACCUGAGAACACAGGUGGAAGCUAUGGAGAAGGGUACCACUGUGUCAGGGGCAUAGUGAGUCACAGAGCUGAGAACAGCAGGCACUUCUCUACACAAAGAUGAGUGGGAGCAUGGAACAAGUAGGGAACCGUGCAAAGGCUGGGUGAGACUUUUAGAUCAAUUAGCUACUCACAACUAAAUGAACUAGAUGGACUGAAUGCUCUCUUCUUUUUCGGGUUUUCCUUGUGUUUUCAUGUUCUAGCACACGGCCUGUGUUUUAAGCAGGUCAGGGGCGACUGGAUCAUCCUGUGCCGUGUAUUAUCAGACCCAUCCCAUUACAGUUCGGUCUGCACUUCGAACCAGUCCUCUACCCCUACAUGCCAGGCCUCUUGGAUUCUUCCAGCUGAAGCCCCACUGUCUCAACACGUACAGCUUUUCAAACUUUCCCUCUACGUGUGUAGAAGUGCAUCUCAUACUUGAAGAUCACCACACAGUGGGGCCAUCGCCAAAUCAACACCACAGACCAGUUUCUUGGAAGAAGACAAAUGACCUUUUCUUCGGAGAUGAGCAAUAAGAACACCAAACACGGGAGAGAACUAAAGACUAGCAAACAACUUGAGUCAUUGUGGCGGAUCUAUCCGGGUGGGCAGUCCGGGCGUCUCGGCUUCACUGGUUCUGAUGUCACUGUGUGUGAUAGCACUACUGGGGCCAGUGGGAGAUGCUAAAUCCCUGUGGGACCUGGCAGCAUGGUGAGCUGAGGACAGGGAAUAGGUGACUUGUGUCUUCUGAUCCUGGAGCAGAUCUGGAGUGUGGAGUGUGUCUGACCCCUCCUCUGACCUCAAGGACUUUGCUGCCCUGUGAAAUGGGAGCCGGGUGCAUUUCACGCUUCAUACAGCCCAUUAAAAGGGGAGACUUACAGGUCCACAUUUAAAGUUGAUCACUGCUUUUCCCUCAUUCUGAGUAAGUCUUCCUUUAGUUCCUGCUUUUCAAUCUCGCUAUGUUUUACAUUAGGCCUAAAUAAGAGGAAGUCAAGAGUCAGCAGCAACAGUUGUUUUCAGCAGCAACACUGAAGUCUGCAGCUCAGUUAAGGUGAUUUCGAGAGCCUAUAUGCAAAUCUUCAGUAUUGUUAUUGUUUAAUAAGGUUCUGUCACAUCCAUAUCUAAAUAUUAGACAGAAAACUGUAAAAUGCAGGAAGUGCAACUGUAUUAUCAGAUUUUCCUUCAUUCUUAACAGAUGGUUUAUAACAUAACCCAGUGUAGAAAAAGACAUCACCCACACCACAGACCACAGGGAAAAGAGAGAGCUGCCCUACAUUCGAUGUGUAUUUGUACAUUUCAUGGCAAUCAAAUAAUUUGCUAGUGGCAGACUCUAACCCAGCUGGUACCUGAUGAAGAAUGAAUAGUGCCUUUCUUCCAUUUUUGAUAUUCUGUAUAAUGGGGGCUGAGAUAUUGGACACCUGAUUGAUUCAGAACCUCCAGGGCAGUUCCACCAGUGUCUUGGCCAA